rnacentral:rRNA from 1 species
UGGGGAAUAUUGGGCAAUGGGCGCAAGCCUGACCCAGCAACGCCGCGUGAAGGAAGAAGGCCCUCGGGUUGUAAACUUCUUUUAACAGGGACGAAGGAAGUGACGGUACCUGUUGAAUAAGCCACGGCUAACUACGUGCCAGCAGCCGCGGUAAUACGUAGGUGGCAAGCGUUAUCCGGAUUUACUGGGUGUAAAGGGCGUGUAGGCGGGGAAGCAAGUCAGACGUGAAAUCUCAUGGCUCAACCAUGGAACUGCGUUUGAAACUGUUUUUCUUGAGUGAUGGAGAGGCAGGCGGAAUUCCGUGUGUAGCGGUGAAAUGCGUAGAUAUACGGAGGAACACCAGUGGCGAAGGCGGCCUGCUGGACAUUAACUGACGCUGAGGCGCGAAAGCGUGGGGAGCAAACAGG